GAAAUGCGAUAAGUAAUGUGAAUUGCAGAAUUCAGUGAAUCAUCGAAUCUUUGAACGCACAUUGCGCCCGCCAGCACUCUGGCGGGCAUGCCUGUUCGAGCGUCAUUUCAACCCUCAGAACCCCUUGCGGGAUCUGGCGUUGGGGAUUGGCAUCCAGCCAGCCCCGAAAUCUAGUGGCGGUCCCUCCGCGACCUCCCCUGUGCAGUAGCGAUACCUCGCAGCGGGACAGCGGUCUGACCACGCCGUAAAACCCCCAACUUCUCAAGGUUGACCUCGAAUCAGGUAGGAAUACCCGUUGAACUUAAGC
rnacentral:misc_RNA from 1 species